rnacentral:misc_RNA from 1 species
AAGUUGUAACAAGGUCUCUGUAGGUAAACCUGCGGAGGGAUUAUUAUAUAAUAACUAGGCGGGCUAGAUACUCUCUGCUAGGCACUGCUUUACGGCGUGCGCGGUAGAGCCGGCUCUACUAAAUUAUUUAUCUGUGUCUUUUGUGUACUUCUUGUUUUCUAGGUAGACUUGCCUGCUCUUAGAACUAACUACAAACCUUUUGUAAUAGUAAUUAGCGUUAGUAAUAAUAUAAUUAAUUA